GACAAUAAUAACACAUAACACGCUAGUCUUCGUCCUGCCUGGUCAGGGAGGAAAGCUUUGACCAUCUGCUCCCUGCAAUUGGAGUGCCCCCAGCUAUGAUCCACCAGCAAUCGCUUAUCCCUGCCACUCAGCCAUUUAUCAGUACUGUCCUGUCUAAAUCCCAAAAUACAAAAGCUGUACUCCCCCUAGAGGAACAAAACCUUCUGAGAUUCGGUGCUGGAUUGAUCCCAAAUACCAAUUUACUUCCCCUGAACGAACCUCGAGCUCUGCUUGCCCAACAAUGGUACCACUAGAGGUCAGCUGUGGAGGGUUACAGAGCAGCUCCACCACUUCAUCCCACACAGACCCUGCCAACCACGGCAGAAUGGAGAGGAGCCCC
rnacentral:lncRNA from 1 species